CCCUUAGAGUUUGAUCAUGGCUCAGAAUGAACGUUGUCGGCGUGGAUUAGGCAUGCAAGUCGAGCGAGAAUCUACUGAUUGAAGCUUCGGCUGAUUGAUGUAGAGGACAGCGGCAAACGGGGUAGUUAGGCGCAGGUUACGUACCCUCUGGUUGGGGAUAGCCACGGGAAACUGUGGGUAAUACCCAAUGAUCCGGUAACGGCAAAGGUGAGAUUCCGCCGGAGGAGCGGUCUGCGUGGUAUUAGCUUGUUGGUGAGGUAAUGGCUCACCAAGGCGAAGAUGCCUAGGGGGUGUGAGAGCAUGGCCCCCACCACUGGGACUGAGACACUGCCCAGACACCUACGGGUGGCUGCAGUCGAGAAUCUUUGGCAAUGCACGCAAGUGUGACCAAGCGACGCCGAGUGCUGGAUGAAGGCCUUCGGGUUGUAAACAGCUGUCAGAGGGGAUGAAAUUGUUGGGGGCCAUCCCUCUUCAUUGACAAAGCCUCAGAGGAAGCGCGGGCUAAGUUCGUGCCAGCAGCCGCGGUAAUACGAACUGCGCGAACGUUAUUCGGAAUCACUGGGCUUAAAGGGUGCGUAGGCGGCCUGUUAAGUAGGGUGUGAAAUUUGUCGGCUCAACCGGCAAACUGCAUUCUAAACUGGCAGGCUUGAGUGAGUCAGGGGUGUGCGGAACUUCCGGUGGAGCGGUGAAAUGCGUUGAUAUCGGAAGGAACGCCGGUGGCGAAAGCGGCACACUGGGGCUUUUCUGACGCUGAGGCACGAAAGCUAGGGGAGCGAACAGGA
rnacentral:rRNA from 1 species